GAUGAACGCUAGCUACAGGCUUAACACAUGCAAGUCGAGGGGAAACGACAUCGGAAGCUUGCUUUUGAUGGGCGUCGACCGGCGCACGGGUGAGUAACGCGUAUCCAACCUGCCCACCACUUGGGGAUAACCUUGCGAAAGUAAGACUAAUACCCAAUGACGUCUCUAGAAGACAUCUGAAAGGGAUUAAAGAUUUAUCGGUGAUGGAUGGGGAUGCGUCUGAUUAGCUUGUUGGCGGGUAACGGCCCACAAGGCGACGAUCAGUAGGGGUUCUGAGAGGAAGGUCCCCCACAUUGGAACUGAGACACGGUCCAAACUCCUACGGGAGGCAGCAGUGAGGAAUAUUGGUCAAUGGGCGAGAGCCUGAACCAGCCAAGUAGCGUGCAGGACGACGGCCCUA
rnacentral:rRNA from 1 species